rnacentral:snoRNA from 1 species
AUGACCUUACUUGAACAGGAUCUGUUCUAUGGGCUCGUAUCUUAUGUAUCCAUAAGUUCAAAGGAGACAGGAUUUCAAAUCUGGUUGACGAAUCGAGACUCUGUGAUCAGAGCGUGAUUAAUGGUGAGGUGAUUCCUUGUUGGUCUACCUUAACCGCAGAGGAUCGUCAUCAGCUGGCCUUGUCUAGCUGGGGAUGGUCACACAGUUGUCUGACAGAUC